UAAAUGACACCGUGAUUACUAAACCACUCAGAAGCUCAGCUUAAAAAUGAACCGGGCAUGUUUGAUCUCAUUUUUCUCUCUCACCUCACAAUAAAUCCAACAAAAGAUACUGUCGUCUUUGCCUUCUAAGUGCGCCCAGAAUCCAAACUCCUGUGAGCGAAGCCCCUCAGUCCAGGCCGCAGCAUCCCCGGCCUUGACGCAAACCUUCCAGAUGUCACCCUCCCCACUCUUGGAGACCAGUGGUCACGCCAACCAGCAUCAGCACCGCCAAAAGCAUCCAAGCUUGUCCAGAGCAGAAGUGAUGUCCACAACAUGUUCUGAAGAUCCUCGCGUCCCCUCCCUCCUGUUGACCUCACCUGCCGCGGUUCCCAUCUUGAUCACGUCCCACCAGCAACACCGGCCUGUUUCUUACCAUCCAGGUUUCCUCAUUUCAGUCCUCCCACCCAGCAUUUCACUGCCUGGAAUGUCCUUCCCCCAAAGCUCCCCAUCUCCUCCCUCCCCUCUGUCCGUGUCCACUGGGAGGUCAGUUCCUCAGAGAGCUGAGCCUGACCUCAGGCAGCCGCCUCCUCCAAGCCCUGCCCUUUCUGACCUCAGCACCAUGAUGCUAUUUGCUGACACGACCACUUCUGAAGCACCUGCCCUCCCCAGGAGAAGGACUGGACUUGGAGCUGCCUUCUCCUCCACUGAGCCAACGCCACUUCCGUUCACCUUGAAUUUCCCUUCAUAGAAGUGUUGGUCAUGAGACCGAGCGUCUGAGGCCUUCACCAGCGUUGGGCAUUCAGAAUCGUGGUGAAUGGAAGCAAACGUCACCACACAACAAGGAGGGGAGAGCGUCCUUGCUCAGAGCCGCUCCCUAGGGAAAGGACAACAGGGGACCCACCCUCAGGACACAGAGGUUACGUCCCAGGGAGGCUGUCUGCUCCUCAGGGACAUCUGAUCUUUACCUUACGAUCCGCCUCUGUGUGGACGACAGACGACGGCACCAGAUGUGACUUCAGAGCUGUGCCUUUCCAGCUUAAUCUCGUGGUGUCAGAGGCUGAGCGCCGAAUGCCAG